AGCCUAUCUCAGUUCGGAUUGGAGGCUGAAACCCGCCUCCAUGAAGUUGGAUUCGCUAGUAAUCGCGCAUCAGCCAUGGCGCGGUGAAUACGUUCCCGGGCCUUGUACACACCGCCCGUCAAGCCAUGGGAGCCGGGGGUGCCUGAAGUUCGUUACCGUAAGGAUCGACCUAGGGCAAAACUGGUGACUGGGGCUAAGUCGUAACAAGGUAUC
rnacentral:rRNA from 1 species